AAGACCUUGCGCUUUUGGAGCGGCCGAUGUCUGAUUAGCUAGUUGGUGGGGUAAUGGCCUACCAAAGCUUCGAUCAGUAGCUGGUCUGAGAGGACGGCCAGCCACAUUGGGACUGAGACACGGCCCAGACUCCUACGGGAGGCAGCAGUGGGGAAUUUUGGACAAUGGGCGCAAGCCUGAUCCAGCCAUGCCGCGUGGGUGAAGAAGGCCUUCGGGUUGUAAAGCUCUUUCAGCCGGGAAGAAAAGGUUGCGAUUAAUAAUCGCAAUUGAUGACGGUACCGGAAGAAGAAGCACCGGCUAACUACGUGCCAGCAGCCGCGGUAAUACGUAGGGUGCGAGCGUUAAUCGGAAUUACUGGGCGUAAAGGGUGCGCAGGCGGUUUUGUAAGUCAGAUGUGAGAUCCCCGGGCUUAACCUGGGAACU
rnacentral:rRNA from 1 species